rnacentral:misc_RNA from 1 species
GGAAGUAAAAGUUGUAACAAGGUUUCCGUAGGUGAACCUGCGGAAGGAUCAUUAUUGUAUGAAACACUUCUGGCUUUAUGCUGUUGUGCUGGCCCUUUGGGCAAUGUGCACACGGCUCUGGUCACUUGUUUCUUCUGUUCCACCUGUGCACUGCCUGUAGACACGCUGUGUCUAUGAUAUUUGUUAACACACAACAAUGUUAGUUGGCAUGUUAUAUAUAAUAAUAAAAUAUACAACUUUCAACAACGGAUCUCUUGGCUCUC